rnacentral:rRNA from 1 species
AGGACGAACGCUGGCGGCGUGCUUAACACAUGCAAGUCGAGCGGUAAGGCCUUUCGGGGUACACGAGCGGCGAACGGGUGAGUAACACGUGGGUGAUCUGCCCUGCACUUCGGGAUAAGCCUGGGAAACUGGGUCUAAUACCGGAUAUGACCUCCUAUCGCAUGGUGGGUGGUGGAAAGAUUUAUCGGUGCAGGAUGGGCCCGCGGCCUAUCAGCUUGUUGGUGGGGUAAUGGCCUACCAAGGCGACGACGGGUAGCCGACCUGAGAGGGUGACCGGCCACACUGGGACUGAGACACGGCCCAGACUCCUACGGGAGGCAGCAGUGGGGAAUAUUGCACAAUGGGCGAAAGCCUGAUGCAGCGACGCCGCGUGAGGGAUGACGGCCUUCGGGUUGUAAACCUCUUUCAGCAGGGACGAAGCGCAAGUGACGGUACUGCAGA